rnacentral:rRNA from 1 species
GAUGAACGCUGGCGGCGUGCUUAACACAUGCAAGUCGAACGAUGAGGCCCAGCUUGCUGGGUGGAUUAGUGGCGAACGGGUGAGUAACACGUGAGUAACCUGCCCUUGACUCUGGGAUAAGCCUGGGAAACUGGGUCUAAUACUGGAUAUGACUUCUCAUCGCAUGGUGGGGGGUGGAAAGAUUUAUUGGUCUUGGAUGGACUCGCGGCCUAUCAGCUUGUUGGUGAGGUAAUGGCUCACCAAGGCGACGACGGGUAGCCGGCCUGAGAGGGUGACCGGCCACACUGGGACUGAGACACGGCCCAGACUCCUACGGGAGGCAGCAGUGGGGAAUAUUGCACAAUGGGCGCAAGCCUGAUGCAGCGACGCCGCGUGAGGGAUGACGGCCUUCGGGUUGUAAACCUCUUUCAGUAGGGAAGAAGCGAGAGUGACGGUACCUGCAGAAGAAGCGCCGGCUAACUACGUG